CCCAGCUCCGCGACCGCCUCUUGGGGGACGCCUGUCGGAAAAAUCCAAGCUCGAACUCCGCCACCUGCCGGCCGCUUGCGGGAGUGCGGCGCUGACAAUCCAACAAUUAAAUGGAACGAGGCUCUGCAGUGUCCACCUUCCUGAGAAACGCCCUUGGGCGCGGGUGCCCCACUGGACGCGAGACUCGGGAGACCCGACUGGCCUCCCGUAUACUCAGUCUGCUGCCGCCCCCACCACCGUGGUGGCCUUGUCUGUGCGUCAGUGUGGCUGAGAAACAGCCAUGGUUCCCACUUGGAGAUGCGCCAGUGGAGAGGAAGACAGUGAUAGCAAGGAAAACCCUCUGCCUGUAAGGGAGGAGAGUUUUGUUUUCAUCAACUGGAAACCUGGGGCUGUAAAUACGGCACAUGUAAACUAGGAACCCAUUUAUGUGUACUCAGAACAUACUAAGUUAUCUUUAGGCAGAGUAGACCCUCAAAAAGCAGUGCUUUUAGCCUAAAAAUAAGCCUCUUUACAUUCAGGAAAAACGAAAUCAGAAAAAUGUCACCCUUGAAACUGCUGUCAAGGCCUUCCGAAUAAUUCAAGCACUUAAGAAAUGCCAAUAA